AGCGAACGCUGGCGGCAUGCUUAACACAUGCCAGUCGCGCGGGUGGUUUCGGCCAUCCGCGGCGGACGGGUGAGUAUCGCGUAGGAAUGUAUCCCGAGGUGGGGGACAACCCUGGGAAACUGGGGCUAAUACCGCAUGGGGCCUGUGGGUCAAAGCCUUAGGGCGCCUUGGGAGCAGCCUGCGUCCGAUUAGGUAGUUGGUGGGGUAAAGGCCUACUAAGCCUGCGAUCGGUAGCUGGUCUGAGAGGACGAUCAGCCACACUGGGACUGAGACACGGCCCAGACUCCUACGGGAGGCAGCAGUGGGGAAUAUUGGACAAUGGGCGCAAGCCUGAUCCAGCAAUGCCGCGUGGGUGAAGAAGGUCUUCGGAUUGUAAGCCCUUUCGGCGGGGACGAUGAUGACGGUACCCGCAGAAGAAGCCCCGGCUAACUUCGUG
rnacentral:rRNA from 1 species